AGCCAAGUCGCGUGAGGGAUGAAGGUUCUAUGGAUCGUAAACCUCUUUUAUAAGGGAAUAAAGUGUGGGACGUGUCCUAUUUUGUAUGUACCUUAUGAAUAAGGAUCGGCUAACUCCGUGCCAGCAGCCGCGGUAAUACGGAGGAUCCGAGCGUUAUCCGGAUUUAUUGGGUUUAAAGGGUGCGUAGGCGGCCUUUUAAGUCAGCGGUGAAAGUCUGUGGCUCAACCAUAGAAUUGCCGUUGAAACUGGGGGGCUUGAGUAUGUUUGAGGCAGGCGGAAUGCGUGGUGUAGCGGUGAAAUGCUUAGAUAUCACGCAGAACCCCGAUUGCGAAGGCAGCCUGCCAAGCCAUGACUGACGCUGAUGCACGAAAGCGUGGGGAUCAAACAGGAUUAGAUACCCUGGUAGUCCACGCAGU
rnacentral:rRNA from 1 species